GGACGAAGAGGCGGACGAGAAAGGACGUCGCCGGACGUUUCAGUUGCGACCUGUCUCCGCUGCUCCCUUCUAAGCUCAGGCCACCCCCACUCUUUCAAGACGUCCUCACAUGCAGAGCUAACAAUGCCUCUCCCCGUGAAGCCCUCCAGAGCCGCCGUGCUGCGGGCUCUAGGGCCUCGCCGGGCGCCGCCGCCUCCUGCUGCUUCCCUCCGCAGCCCUCGGCUGGCUGGCUCGCCCGCUCCUCCCUGGCCGGCUCUGCUCACCAGCAGUGCUGUCCCUUCACCUCAGCUAUCCCUCACAGAUCUGAGGCCCCAGUUCCUCAAGACCAAGACCUCCAGAACACCGUGACACGCGGCAGUGGAAACGGAUAAACGGAGGGACAUAACCCCCACCAACCGGCCAAGUCCGGACCACAGCGCGAUCCUACGGGAAAUUAAUGGCUUUGAGGAUGCAACCUAUUGCUUCACAGAGCUAUAGGUACUGUUUGGAGAAGGAGGAAAGCAGCUGUGGCAGUGACUGACAGGAGCAGAGGAGGGUGUCCUCGAUAUCUGAGAGGUAUUCAUUCUACAAAUACAUAUUGAGGGCUGACCAAGCAGCAGCCCUGUGCUCCUGCCCCACACCUUGAAGUAUUGUUGCCCUGGGUGGGGCCGCUGGGUUUAAAGAGCUGGAACCCGCCUGGAUUUAACAGCCCCAACAGCCUUCUGAGACCUGUUCACAACGCUUGUUCACAGCCCUGUUCUACAGCUGUGUCAUGGAGAAAGUGACCCAGGGCCUUCUCCUCAUGCUGGUUGGCCUGCCUGCCUUCGAAGCCAAUAACCUGAUUGAUAAAGACAGUCCCUUCUUCUAUGAUUGGGAAGGCCUACAGCUGGGCGGGAUGAUCUGCGCAGGGCUCCUGUGCAUCGCUGGAAUCGUUUUUGCCCUAAGUGGCAAAUGCAGAUGCAAGUACAACCAGAAGCAGAGUUCCCAACCUGAAAAAGCUGUUCCACUCAUCACUCCAGGUGAAACAGGCUCCUGAGUGCUUCCAGGCACUCAGGCAGGGUGCCCACAGAAUUGGAGAGCUAAUAAAUAUUAUAGUGCAUGUAAGGCUGUACCAGUACCUGCUGAGCACAGGACCAGCUGUGUGGCACUCUGGGCACCAGCUCCCAUGCUGUUUUCCUCUCUACUUGAGGGCCUUACUUUCCAUGGCACCCUUUCUCUCCAAGGGUGGGCCCUUAGGCUCCCUUUGGACUGGGAGGCUGUCACAAAGUUUAUCUCAGGAUUAAACUGGUCUACUCCUCCC